AUGCCUCUUUUACUGCUGGGCUGAGCGGCUGUACAGCCUGGUUGUGUCUUAUUGGAUGCCCAACACCCUUGACGGCUGUUGCUGACUGAGUGGUGCCUCUAGCGACAGGAAAGAAGUUAACUAAUUAUGAACAUAUGGUUUGGCAGGCACCUUGUUAGCUUGCUGCUGCGUAGGUGUUUGGAAGCAGGAGAAGGGGAAACUUUGAGGUAGAAGGUGCGGUUAAAAGUCCCACUGAUAAGCCUGGGGGAGAUUUGACUGAUCCUAAUCUAUUCUUUUUGUCAGGAGUCAGCGUGCUUCUGGCAGCAACAGCUUGGUAAUAACAGAGAUUUGUGGCCCUUAAGCUCUUGUGGUGAUAGCCGGCACACGACCAGACCAGUCAACUGGCUGCUUAAAAGGUCUCGCAUUAAUUGGCCAUAGUGGUGAGAACAGAAAUGAGAAGUUAGGUCAAGGUAGAACACAUGGUCUACCUGAAAUGGCUCACCAUGAUCAGCUGCACAGAUGUCGUUCUUUAUUGAUGUGAUCCACAGUAGAGGAAUAAGAGAAUCCUUGGGGAAUGGGCUGCAAGAAAGUGUGUAUAAGAGCAGCAAGUGUGGCCUCUGUGUGCAAAUUACCUCAAGGAAAACACAGGUGUAUACAGAAUUGGAAGAAGAGUUAUCACAUUGCUUGUGGGUUAUUAGAU
rnacentral:lncRNA from 1 species